AAUGAAAAAUGGAUAUGUGAAUUGGAAUAAUGUUUUUUUUUCGGACUAUUGUUAUAUUACUGUUCUUGCAUCGUAUAUGCAUAUUUAGAUCGGAUUAUGAUAUAUCUAUUAUGUUACAAAAGAAUUUUGAUGUGCAUCAGAUUUAGAACUCUCAGCCUGGCUAUGUUCUGGACCCUGCCAAUAGGGGGUUAUGCAUUGGCAAUUCUGGCCCCACCACAGGGUAUAAGUGUGGUAUUCUGGCCCACUCCGCAGGGUAUAAGUGCGGUAUUCUUGCCCACUCCGCAGGGUAUAAGUGCGGUUCUGUUUCUGGCCUAGCCACAGGGUAUAAGUGUGGUCGUAGCUAAAGGCUGAUGAGAUGAAUGUGAUUUGUUUCGAAUAAGAUUUAUGAUUAUGUAUAUAGAUAUUUGAAAAAUACGAAUUUCAAUGAAUUUGUGCUUGAAAAGGAAUUGACUAUGUUAUUAUGUUGAUUCAUCGUAAUUUAUAUUUAUAUUUUAUGUUAUUAUAUGAAUUGACUAGUUAAGGUGUUUAUUACUUACUGGGCUGUCUAGCUCAUUAUACAAUUUCUUGUUGUUUUACAGAUUCCGAGAACUAACCUAUCGGGGAUUUAAAAUGGAAGAGCGACUAGAAGAACUGAAGCACAAGUUAUCCUAGAUUAGGCUU
rnacentral:lncRNA from 1 species